GCCGGAGGUAAACUGAACCGGCGAACGGAGAAACGAAGAGCGGCGACGCCUUCAUUGAACUCCGAUGAAUCUGAUACAACAACUUUGGAAAGUGGUUUUGUAUACCAUCAAAAUCCAGAACAAGGAAAUGAAACGAAGCUUCUUAGAUUGUUCUUCUGAAGAUUGAUCCAACUAUUAGUUUGGCCUACUUACAAGUUACCGAUUAACUUAAGCUUAGGAAGCGAAUUUUGCUUUUUUUGGUAACUUAAGGAGGUAAUUAAUUAAAAUGCUUCCAUGGCAUCUGGAUUUCUCCAUUAAU
rnacentral:misc_RNA from 1 species